rnacentral:rRNA from 1 species
CAAGUCGAACGAUGAAGCUGGAGCUUGCUCUAGUGGAUUAGUGGCGAACGGGUGAGUAACACGUGAGCAAUCUGCCCUUGACUCUGGGAUAACUGCGGGAAACUGUAGCUAAUACCGGGUACGACACCUUGGGGCAUCCCGAGGUGUGGAAAGAAUUUCGGUCAAGGAUGAGCUCGCGGCCUAUCAGCUUGUUGGUGAGGUAAAAGCUCACCAAGGCGACGACGGGUAGCCGGCCUGAGAGGGUGACCGGCCACACUGGAACUGAGAUACGGUCCAGACUCCUACGGGAGGCAGCAGUGGGGAAUAUUGCACAAUGGGCGCAAGCCUGAUGCAGCAACGCCGCGUGAGGGAUGAAGGCCUUCGGGUUGUAAACCUCUUUUAUCAGGGAAGAAGCGAAAGUGACGGUACCUGAAGAAAAAGCACCGGCUAACUACGUGCCAGCAGCCGCGGUAAUACGUAGGGUGCAAGCGUUGUCCGGAAUUAUUGGGCGUAAAGAGCUCGUAGGCGGUUUGUCGCGUCUGCUGUGAAAAUCCAAGGCUCAACCUUGGACCUGCAGUGGGUACGGGCAGACUAGAGUGCGGUAGGGGAGAUGGGAAUUCCUGGUGUAGCGGUGGAAUGCGCAGAUAUCAGGAGGAACACCAAUGGCGAAGGCACAUCUCUGGGCCGUAACUGACGCUGAGGAGCGAAAGCGUGGGGAGCGAACAGGAUUAGAUACCCUGGUAGUCCACGCCGUAAACGGUGGGUGCUAGUUGUGGGCCACAUUCCACGUGGUCCGUGACGAAGUUAACACAUUAAGCACCCCGCCUGGGGAGUACGGUCGCAAGACUAAAACUCAAAGGAAUUGACGG